CCUACGGGUGGCAGCAGUGAGGAAUAUUGGUCAAUGGACGAAAGCCUGAACCAGCCAAGUAGCGUGCAGGAUGACGGCCCUACGGGUUGUAAACUUCUUUUAUACAGGAAUAACGCGCCUUACGUGUGCGUCUUUGCAUGUACCUUAUGAAUAAGGACCGGCUAAUUCCGUGCCAGCAGCCGCGGUAAUACGGAAGAUCCGGGCGUUAUCCGGAUUUAUUGGGUUUAAAGGGAGCGUAGGCGGGAUGUUAAGCGUGCUGUGAAAUGUCAGGGCUCAACCCGGGACUUGCAGUGUGUACUGGCGGGCUUGAGUACGGUGAAAGUAGGCGGAAUUCGUGGUGUAGCGGUGAAAUGCUUAGAUAUGACGAAGAACCCCGAUUGCGAAGGCAGCUUGCUGAAGUGGAACUGACGUUGAUGCUCGAAAGUGUGGGUAUCGAACAGGAUUAGAUACCCGGGUAGUC
rnacentral:rRNA from 1 species